GACGAACGCUGGCGGCGUGCUUAACACAUGCAAGUCGAACGGACAGGCCCUGCUUUUGUGGGGUGCUCGAGUGGCGAACGGGUGAGUAACACGUGAGUAACCUGCCCUUGACUUUGGGAUAACUUCAGGAAACUGGGGCUCAUACCGGAUAGGAGCUCCUGCUGCAUGGUGGGGGUUGGAAAGUUUCGGCGGUUGGGGAUGGACUCGCGGCUUAUCAGCUUGAUGGUGGGGUAGUGGCUUACCAAGGCUUUGACGGGUAGCCGGCCUGAGAGGGUGACCGGCCACAAUGGGACUGAGAGACGGCCCAGACGCCUACGGGAGGCAGCAGUGGGGAAUAUUGCACAAUGGGCGGAAGCCUGAUGCAGCAACGCCGCGUGCGUGAUAACGUCCUUCGGGUUGUAAACCGCUUUCGCAGGUGACGAAGCGUGAGUGACGGUAAUUGGUAAGGAAGCACCGGCUAACUACGUG
rnacentral:rRNA from 1 species